UACGAAGGGGGCUAGCGUUGUUCGGAAUUACUGGGCGUAAAGGGUGCGUAGGCGGCUUUUUAAGUUUGGUGUGAAAUCUCCCGGCUCAACUGGGAGGGUGCGCCGAAUACUGAGAGGCUAGAGUGCGGGAGAGGAGAGUGGAAUUCCUGGUGUAGCGGUGAAAUGCGCAGAUAUCAGGAAGAACACCCGUGGCUAAGGCGGCUCUCUAGUACGGUACUGACGCUGAGACGCGAAAGCGUGGGGAGCGAACAGG
rnacentral:rRNA from 1 species